rnacentral:lncRNA from 1 species
GUAAAUACUUCUUCUUCCCUUAUUUCCGUGUUGACACUUUCCAUGGAGACUGAUAUUGGAUUCGAACAUCAGAUGGAAUUUUGCAUCACUCCUCUGAUAUGGCCUGCAAGAUAUUGUAAUUUGAACUAUCUGUAACACAUGACAUAAUAUUGUCAAAAAGAGGAUUUAACUAUUUUUUAGUUUCCAAAAAAAUUAAAGGCUGAGCUCCAUUAUCUUGUUAUUGCUAAUGGCUUUAUAAAGCCACAUGCUCUGAAGGUUGUUUGAUAACUUUUUGUACAUACCGACUUUCAGAAUGGGAUGGUAGUUUUCUCUAGUUAUAAACCGUCUCUUAUAGAAUUGCAGUACUGAACAUCACUGCAUUUACUAAUUGUCUCUAUUAGCUGUGAAAUAUUAUUUUGGUUUUAUCCCUGUUUGCUACUUUUUAUACCACCAUUUUCUUUUGCAGGCUGAAUAUUUUCGUCAGUUGCUUAAACCUGUUACGUAGUCUAGCUUAAAGGAACAUUGAUUUGGGGAGGGAUUGCCUUGUAUUGAACCACAUCAUUAGAAGGCUGCCAGAUGAGAUGAAGUUUUAAUUUGUAAAAGUUGACAUUAUUUUUUAUAGAUGGAAUUGGAAUUACCUUAGUACCUGCUGUUUAGUUGUUACAUCACUGUAGGAACUUUCAUCCAGCUUUAGUACAAAAUAAUUUCCAGUUACAUUGGCCAAAUCCACACUACUU